rnacentral:rRNA from 1 species
CCUAAGGUAGCGAAAUUCCUUGUCGGGUAAGUUCCGACCUGCACGAAUGGCGUAAUGAUGGCCAGGCUGUCUCCACCCGAGACUCAGUGAAAUUGAACUCGCUGUGAAGAUGCAGUGUACCCGCGGCAAGACGGAAAGACCCCGUGAACCUUUACUAUAGCUUGACACUGAACAUUGAGCCUUGAUGUGUAGGAUAGGUGGGAGGCUUUGAAGUGUGGACGCCAGUCUGCAUGGAGCCGACCUUGAAAUACCACCCUUUAAUGUUUGAUGUUCUAACGUUGACCCGUAAUCCGGGUUGCGGACAGUGUCUGGUGGGUAGUUUGACUGGGGCGGUCUCCUCCUAAAGAGUAACGGAGGAGCACGAAGGUUGGCUAAUCCUGGUCGGACAUCAGGAGGUUAGUGCAAUGGCAUAAGCCAGCUUGACUGCGAGCGUGACGGCGCGAGCAGGUGCGAAAGCAGGUCAUAGUGAUCCGGUGGUUCUGAAUGGAAGGGCCAUCGCUCAACGGAUAAAAGGUACUCUGGGGAUAACAGGCUGAUACCGCCCAAGAGUUCAUAUCGACGGCGGUGUUUGGCACCUCGAUGUCGGCUCAUCACAUCCUGGGGCUGAAGUAGGUCCCAAGGGUAUGGCUGUUCGCCAUUUAAAGUGGUACGCGAGCUGGGUUUAGAACGUCGUGAGACAGUUCGGUCCCUAUCUGCCGUGGGCGCUGGAGAACUGAGGGGGGCUGCUCCUAGUACGAGAGGACCGGAGUGGACGCAUCACUGGUGUUCGGGUUGUCAUGCCAAUGGCACUGCCCGGUAGCUAAAUGCGGAAGAGAUAAGUGCUGAAAGCAUCUAAGCACGAAACUUGCCCCGAGAUGAGUUCUCCCUGACUCCUUGAGAGUCCUGAAGGAACGUUGAAGACGACGACGUUGAUAGGCCGGGUGUGUAAGCGCAGCGAUGCGUUGAGCUAACCGGUACUAAUGAACCGUGAGGCUUAACCUU